rnacentral:rRNA from 1 species
ACGGGUGAGUAAUGCGUCGGAACGUGCCGAGUAGUGGGGGAUAACGCAGCGAAAGUUGUGCUAAUACCGCAUACGUACUGAGGUAGAAAGUGGGGGACCUUCGGGCCUCACGCUAUUCGAGCGACCGACGUCUGAUUAGCUAGUAGGUGAGGUAAAGGCUCACCUAGGCGACGAUCAGUAGCGGGUCUGAGAGGAUGAUCCGCCACACUGGGACUGAGACACGGCCCAGACUCCUACGGGAGGCAGCAGUGGGGAAUUUUGGACAAUGGGCGAAAGCCUGAUCCAGCCAUGCCGCGUGUCUGAAGAAGGCCUUCGGGUUGUAAAGGACUUUUGUCAGGGAGGAAAUCCCUAGCGUUAAUACCGCUGGGGGAUGACAGUACCUGAAGAAUAAGCACCGGCUAACUACGUGCCAGCAGCCGCGGUAAUACGUAGGGUGCGAGCGUUAAUCGGAAUUACUGGGCGUAAAGCGUGCGCAGGCGGUUUGAUAAGCCAGAUGUGAAAUCCCCGAGCUCAACUUGGGAACUGCGUUUGGAACUGUCAGACUAGAGUGCGUCAGAGGGGGGUGGAAUUCCGCGUGUAGCAGUG